GAUGAACGCUGGCGGCGUGCCUAAUACAUGCAAGUCGAGCGAACAGACGAGGAGCUUGCUCCUCUGACGUUAGCGGCGGACGGGUGAGUAACACGUGGAUAACCUACCUAUAAGACUGGGAUAACUUCGGGAAACCGGAGCUAAUACCGGAUAAUAUAUUGAACCGCAUGGUUCAAUAGUGAAAGACGGUUUUGCUGUCACUUAUAGAUGGAUCCGCGCCGCAUUAGCUAGUUGGUAAGGUAACGGCUUACCAAGGCAACGAUGCGUAGCCGACCUGAGAGGGUGGUCGGCCACACUGGAACUGAGACACGGUCCAGGCUCCUACGGGAGGCAGCAGUAGGGAAUCUUCCGCAAUGGGCGAAAGCCUGACGGAGCAACGCCGCGUGAGUGAUGAAGGUCUUCGGAUCGUAAAGCUCUGUUAUUAGGGAAGAACAAAUGUGUAAGUAACUAUGCACGUCUUGACGGUACCUAAUCAGAAAGCCACGGCUAACUACGUG
rnacentral:rRNA from 1 species